GCAUCAGUUCACAUCUACACCCACCAAAUUUAAGAGAGAGGGAGGAAGCAGUGAGAGGGAGACGAGCAAUGAAAAAGGGGAGCCGUCAUCCCUGUCGACUCCGGUAAUGGCAGCGCCGUAGUUGUGGUCCGGGUCCGACAACGGACGUUAGCAGCAGGUUGAUAGUGAGCAGAGAACAGAGGCAUCCCGCAUCAGGAGGAAAGAGUGUUGUAAAAGUCGCCGGUGACGGUGGAACCGGCAGCAGCAGUAGUAGUGAUGGUGGUAAUUAUUCAUGGCUCCGACGGUGGCUGACCGGAGCAGCAGCUACGGAGGUGACGGCGGGUCUCGGCUGGGAUGGUAACGGCUCGACGGCGUCGGGACCAAGACGAAACUGGUUGUUAGGUAUUUAUGGAGCUUGCACGAGGAGACGUGAUCGUUGUGGGGCAUGGACAGUGGUGUGCCAUGUUAAACAUUUGAAACAUUUAGACUUACGCUUUGGUUGUCAAUAUUUUGCUUCCGCUUACAACUUAACUAUGUUUUGAUUGGACACCAAUUAUAUUGUGUUGGAUUUUAUAUUUACGUA